UACGUAGGGUGCAAGCGUUGUCCGGAAUUAUUGGGCGUAAAGAGCUCGUAGGCGGUCUGUCGCGUCGGAUGUGAAAGCCCGGGGCUUAACCCCGGGUCUGCAUUCGAUACGGGCAGACUAGAGUGUGGUAGGGGAGAUCGGAAUUCCUGGUGUAGCGGUGAAAUGCGCAGAUAUCAGGAGGAACACCGGUGGCGAAGGCGGGUCUCUGGGCAGUAACUGACGCUGAGGCACGAAAGCGUGGGGAGCAAACAGG
rnacentral:rRNA from 1 species